AGCCAGCCAGCCAACCCUUCUCUUGUUUCUCAACAACCAAACAGACUAAAAUCGGCUCCACCACUCCAGAACUACAUCAGGUAUUUUCUUUUUCUUUCUUUAAAAUUAACCUCCUUUAUAAUUCUUUUUCUUUCCAAGUCUCAAGUUCCUCCAUGCUACUGUGCGUUAUCCCGUUGGUGAUUCAAUGGAGAAGCUCUUUUCUUGUUGCAACAAAACAAAGCAAGCUUUUUCCCUUUUUUGUGAUUUGAGAUCGAGAAGGCAAAUAGAGAGAAGGGAGAAAUAGAGGGAGAGGGACGGAAGCUAGUUCAGGAAGAAAAAGAGGGAGAUGGACGAAGAAAAAUAGGAAGGAAAGGUUUUUCCUUUUUCGUCAUUUGAAAUCGAUAAGGCAAAGAGGGAGAGGGAUGGAAGCUAGUCCAGUAAGAAAAUGAGGGAGGUGGACAAGAAAACUAGGAAGAAGUGGUGUACUAGAAUGAAUAGAAAAACAUAAGUAUUAAUAAAAUAUUAAUAAAUAUGACUUUAAUAUUAUAAUAUUUGAAUUUGUUAUUAUUUUGUUUUUUUAAUUUAACACUGCACUAAACGUUUCACUAAAUCAAAUUAGCUUAAUUCUAAAACUAGUCUAGUCCGACGUAAUCUGAUAAAACAAACGCAUCUUAAAAGUGUUUCUAAUAUUUGGAAGAAAAAGUUAAAAGUGGUCUUGUGCCAAAAGCACUUAAGUGCUUUUAAAAAAUAAAAAAAACAUUGCAUUUUGAUGAAAAUAUUGACGUGCUUCUAAAAAGGCUGCUUUUGAAAAACUAAAUACCUCAAAACGAUGGUUAUACAAACGAUAUUUGGUUAUACCAACUCCAAUGCUUGAACCCAAACUCAAAUAUUUAGGUUACUAUAAAAGACAUAAAUUUAGCUCUAUGAACAAUGACUAUCAUCCAAUGCUUGUAGUUUUAAAAUUGAAGUUGUAGUUUUUAAAUUUAAGUUGUUGUAGUUUUUAAAUUAAAAUAAUAAAUUAUGUUUGGCCCUAUAGCCCUUUGGCCUCUCGGUUGGAGAUGGUUUUUUGUCACAGGUUAUGUUUGGCAUAUGAUCAUUUGGCCCCUCAGUUAGAGAUGAUAAAAAAUGUGGCCUAGCACUGUUAAUUAAAAUAUUAAUUUUUUGGAGGGCUAUAGGGUUAAAACGAGUCAUCUGGCCCUCCUUCGGUUGGAGAUGGCCUUAACAGUUGAACUUAAGCUAUCAAACUUAGUAUUGUGUUGUGUGGGGGCGGAUUCACCAAAGGGCAUGAGCAGUCUAGCCAUAUAUAAAAUCUUAAUUUUUACCAAAUUUCAACCCAAAUUCCAAAUUUUUAAAAUUCUAAUUUUUCUUUUAUUGAUAAUGAAGCAAAAAUACAACAGUUUCAAGUAUGAAAUCGAGUAGUGAACAAUUGUCUCUUUGUUAUGUACAAUUGUAGUUUGUAAUUAUUUAUUUCAUGAAUUAUGAAUGAUGGGUUAUGAUUUAAUUUAGGGUAAAUUAUAUUUUCCCCCUCAGGUUUAGAGUCGAUUUCAAUUCCUUACAACAUCUUUAAAACAUUUCACUUUCAUACCUCAAGUACUAUUUUAUUUCAAUUUCAUACAACCGUUAAAAAUUCUGUUAACCGUUAAGUGAUGACGUGACAAAUAUGAGGUCUCCAUUUGUGCUGAUGUGGCUGACACAUUUAUGCCACGUGGAUAAACACUUAAUAAAAAUGUUAAAAUAUUAGAAUAAUUAAUUAAAGAAAA
rnacentral:lncRNA from 1 species